GAGCUGGCCGGGGAAGGGGCAGGUUUGAGGAGGGGCAAGGGGCUGCCUGGACCCUCACCCGCCCCAGGAAGAAGUGGACAAGCAGAAAAUCCUGGGCUCCUUCCUGUCCCCCGUGUGCCCUGCUGCUCUGAGGGAGCACUUCCAGCUGCGUGUUCUGCCCAGGCCUCUGCCCGGACGGACCUGUGCUCCCUCAGAAGUGAGCCAUGGCUGAGGCUAGGAUCAGGACAGCAGCCGCCGCUUCCUGGCUCGGGGGACUCCCUGAGGUCAGCAACACCUGGGCUCCCUUGGUGCUGGGCUGGGGUCCUUCUGGGGAUAGGAACUUGUCAACUCCUAGCUGACAGCAGAUGUUUCGUAAGCUUAUGGGGGUUCGUGCUCAAUCUGGGACAAGUAGCGAUGACCGGGAUCAAGCCUAAGUCUGAGCCAGAAGAACGUUCCUUUAAUGUUUAAAACUUGCCUCACCAAGUCCUAAGCCACAGGCUACCCAACUCAGAUACUGAUGCUGAUGAUCUAGUGCUUUCCUGGAGACCCUAGCCCCCGAGGACCAGCUCUGGCUUCAACACUGGACCCCCCCGCCCGGUACCUUCCCACCCGCCGUCGCCUAGGGAAGAAAGAAGAGGAGCUUCCCCGUGCACAGCCUUACCUGGGACUCAUACUUGAGCCUGCGGGUGACCUCCUCCCGGAAGCCCGACAUGUUCGCAGGGCCCUCCCCGCAAGGGAAUCUGGCCAGGAUUUCGGCGGCAUGGGCUGGUGGGAAGCCUUUCUCUCCGGCUGUGAGGGAGGAUGGGUCCACAAACUCACUGAGAGCACACACGUAGGCCUCACCUCGAAGCAGGGAGAUGACAGACCAGGUGACAGGGGCCACAGCUGCACGGCCCAGGAUGGAGCUGAGGAGGAGGAAGUUGGGGGCGGCUGAGCAGUUCUUGGUCCUCCGGUACUGGCACUCGGCGACUAGGUUCCAGGUGUGGUUGUUGAGGAUGACCCCGAUGAGGAAAAGCGCCAGGGCUGGCACACCGAUGGCUGUCAGCCCGUACAGGUAGUUCCGGGCAGGUGAGCAAGGGCAGUGGAAAGCCACCACGGAGAACAGCUCCUGACUGCCCACUGUGCCCAGUGCCACCAGCCCAUUAAAAAUCAUUACGUCCUUGCUCUUGAAGAAGAGUGAUAGGAAGCGGAAGUUCUCUGCAAUCAGGGCUGCCAUGGUGAUGCGUCAGUGGCGGGGACCGUCGGCAAGGCUGGGGGCGGGAGAGACCAGGAUUGAUGGUUCCUGAUGGGACUAGGAGGGAGUGGAGGCUGGUGGGUAUCUGAAGGCAGGGCACGGUCUUGCCAUUUUAUCCCCUCCAGUGGCCAGCCUGGUGCUUCCUAUGGGAUAAAGGAAGCUGAUAAAUGUUUGCCUUGGAAAACUGAAAGGAAUCGAGGGGAUCCUGUAUGGCCAAGCUAGUGAGAAAGGAGGAGACUUGGGGAACCCUGGGACCUUGGGGACAUGAUGACAGCUGCUCACUGAGCUCCUGCUGGGUGUCAGGUGCUUUCUAUCCCUCACUACCCAUCAUCACGAUCCCCCACGGAGCUGCCCUGUCCCGUGUGCAUAGAGGUGAGGGGCUUGUCCAGGACACAGAAACGGCAGAGCUGAGAUUCAGGCUCAGGUCCGUCUGCCUCAGGCACUUGGGUUCUUGUUACUCCCACAGGCUUCCCUUGCUGUCGAGAUUAAGGAUGGCCCUGUGGUGCCAGGGAAUGUGGGGUCCCGGUAGUGCUAGGGCGCUGAGGGACCUAGGACUACUGGGGGCUGUUGUCCUCCAGGCCUCUAGCCCAUGGGCAUCCCAGCUGCAGUGGGUGUCCUGGGAGAUAAGGGCAUGGGUUUGCCUCAGUGGCAUGGGGUGAGGUGGAGGAAAGAGUCUGGUCAGUGCCCAGUGAGGCACAGUGUCCCAGAGUUCAUGAGAACUUUCCAUUUUAGAGACCUCAGAGUCCAGACUGGUUUUAGGAGAUUCUGGCUGUCAACACACUCCAUGACUUUUCUCUGGGUCUGUGUCCUCAUCCGUGAAAAGAGGAUAAAUCCUCCUGGCCCUUGUCUCCCCGUAGGGAUGCUGGCAGGAAAAGAAAGGGAAUAAAUGAUGCCUGAC